ACAAAAAAAACUUCUGAACAUCCAAAUAUUCCAAAUCGGCUACAAGAUCCUGGUACAUCAGAGAAACGUGCUAUAAGAAAAAGAUUGGACAAUGAAGAAGAUAGCGACUCUCCUUGGGAUUCAGAGGAAUAUAUAUCGGACCCAGAUGUGGAAAAAAAGCACAUUGUUAUUUUACCUGACUACAGUACUAGGACGCAAAAAACUUCUGAACAUCCAAAUAUUCCAAAUCGGCUACAAGAUCCUGGUACAUCAGAGGAACGUGCUAUAAGAAAAAGUGAGUUAUUGUGUUGACACAGCUCCUGAUUUCAUCAAUUUAGGACAUCCACAAGGAAUAAGUUUCUAGAGAUGCUCAUUGGCUACUGUUCUGUAGCAUAGAGUCUUCCAGAGUAGCCCAGGGCUUCAGAAUUGCAGCAUUUUGCCCAUGAUACCACAAUCAAAAUAUCAGACAUGGAAACGGAACCCAGGGCUUCCUUAAUUCAAACUGGCCUUCUAUGCACUGGCCAGUGCUAUACCUUUAGUUGUAGAACCUAAUGCAAAACAUUCUUUCUAAAAAUGCCAUUAUAAACGUUCAAAUAUUAAGGGUAUAUUUGAAAUAAAAUAUUCCAUAUU